rnacentral:lncRNA from 1 species
UGUCGCUGACCAGCAGCUGUCAUCCCUUAUGUGACCCUGCUCCCAGGUAACAGUGUGUGUGCAGGGAUGAACUCAUAACCUCCCUGGCCAAUUGUGCCUUUCCUUGGACACUACUGAGUUGGGCCUCACCAGGAGGAGUGGUUUCUUCUGUGGGCAAAGCUGUGAAGGCAAGAGUCUGGAAACUGAGAGAAGACAUCUUCCUCCACCACAUGGAGAAGAUGCUCUGUGAUAAGAAUCGGGACCACAAACUGGGAAGCAGCUCUGAGGGGCAGAGAGAUCCUCAAUGCACUUGAGUUCCUGAUUCCAGUUCUAGGAGAUAGCAGAAAGAGAAUGAUGGGAUUUGGACAUUAGUCACACUUUGUUCUACCACUUCCUGACUAUAAAGGAUAUUGGCAGUGAUCAGA